rnacentral:rRNA from 1 species
UGGGCGUUGGGGGGUGCUAUAAUGCAAGUCGAGCGACAGACGAGGAGCUUGCUCCUCUGACGUUAGCGGCGGACGGGUGAGUAACACGUGGAUAACCUACCUAUAAGACUGGGAUAACUUCGGGAAACCGGAGCUAAUACCGGAUAACAUGUUGAACCGCAUGGUUCAACAGUGAAAGACGGUCUUGCUGUCACUUAUAGAUGGAUCCGCGCCGCAUUAGCUAGUUGGUAAGGUAACGGCUUACCAAGGCAACGAUGCGUAGCCGACCUGAGAGGGUGAUCGGCCACACUGGAACUGAGACACGGUCCAGACUCCUACGGGAGGCAGCAGUAGGGAAUCUUCCGCAAUGGGCGAAAGCCUGACGGAGCAACGCCGCGUGAGUGAAGAAGGUCUUCGGAUCGUAAAACUCUGUUAUUAGGGAAGAACAAAUGUGUAAGUAACUAUGCACGUCUUGACGGUACCUAAUCAGAAAGCCACGGCUAACUACGUGCCAGCAGCCGCGGUAAUACGUAGGUGGCAAGCGUUAUCCGGAAUUAUUGGGCGUAAAGCGCGCGUAGGCGGUUUUUUAAGUCUGAUGUGAAAGCCCACGGCUCAACCGUGGAGGGUCAUUGGAAACUGGAAAACUUGAGUGCAGAAGAGGAAAGUGGAAUUCCAUGUGUAGCGGUGAAAUGCGCAGAGAUAUGGAGGAACACCAGUGGCGAAGGCGACUUUCUGGUCUGUAACUGACGCUGAUGUGCGAAAGCGUGGGGAUCAAACAGGAUUAGAUACCCUGGUAGUCCACGCCGUAAACGAUGAGUGCUAAGUGUUAGGGGGUUUCCGCCCCUUAGUGCUGCAGCUAACGCAUUAAGCACUCCGCCUGGGGGAGUACGACCGCAAGGUUGAAACUCAAGGAAUUGACGGGGGACCUGCACAAGCGGUGGAGCAUGUGGUUUAAUUCGAAGCAACGCGAGAUCUUUACCAAAUCUUGACAUCCUCUGACCCUUCUAGAGAUAGAGUUUUCCCCUUCGGGGGACAGA